UACGUAGGUGGCGAGCGUUGUCCGGAAUCACUGGGCGUAAAGGGCGCGUAGGCGGUCAUGCAAGUCGCAUGUGAAGGACCAGGGCUCAACCCUGGGGUGUCAUGCGAAACUGUGUGACUUGAGUGCAGUAGAGGGAAGCGGAAUUCCUGGUGUAGCGGUAAAAUGCGUAGAGAUCAGGAGGAACACCGGUGGCGAAGGCGGCUUUCUGGGCUGCAACUGACGCUGAGGCGCGAAAGCGUGGGGAGCAAACAGG
rnacentral:rRNA from 1 species